rnacentral:rRNA from 1 species
GACGAACGCUGGCGGCGUGCUUAACACAUGCAAGUCGAGCGGUAAGGCCCUUUCGGGGGUACACGAGCGGCGAACGGGUGAGUAACACGUGGGUGACCUGCCUUUAGCUCUGGGAUAAGCCUGGGAAACCGGGUCUAAUACCGGAUAUGACUCCAUGACGCAUGUUGUGGGGUGGAAAGCCUUGUGCGGCUGAGGAUGGGCCCGCGGCCUAUCAGCUUGUUGGUGGGGUGAUGGCCACCAAGGCGACGACGGGUAGCCGGCCUGAGAGGGCGACCGGCCACACUGGGACUGAGACACGGCCCAGACUCCUACGGGAGGCAGCAGUGGGGAAUCUUGCGCAAUGGGCGAAAGCCUGACGCAGCGACGCCGCGUGCGGGAGGACGGCCUCGGUCGUAACGACU